AAAUUUAAGUAUUAUAUUGAAGUUUUCGUCAGCUGCAUCAGCGGUAUCCCUCAUACAUGUUUCCGGCACCCAGUGGUGCUUCCUGUGGUACCCAUGAAGAACCCCCAGAAGGUAACAACAUAUUCCCUUUUAUUAUCACUGUUUUGCUUAUCCCAUCAUGUGUUGCUGCAACGUUGCAUAGUUAGCCUGUACGAAGAUAAAGAGCACUGUCUGACUAGCCUAAAGCACUGGGCUUACUUUGUAACAUGGGUAGGACUGACAUGCACGUCAUUAACUCAAUACUCCAAUUUGCUCACACCGGGGAUAAGGCUCCCAUCUUCUCGUCGUCCUCUCGUCCCGUUGGACACCGACACGGACACCGGCAGGAAAGACCGCAGGAGAUGGCUUGCCCUUGCUGCUGAGAUCAAUUCUACAUGCACCUUUUAGAAUUAAAUCAUAAUUUAAACCUGCGGAUUCCCAACGCUUUUGGCCUUCGCUUUGACUUCCGAACCAUGAGGUACCUGGCUCUAUGCGAGCUUGUAACAUCACAUCGUGACGAUGGAGCCCCAUUGAGAUUUUCUUACUCCUCUAUUUCUGCAUUCGAUGGCAGAUGUGUGGAGCAGACAUUGGGCAAAAAGGGUAUUUCUGGUUUCGGGAACGGGUCUAUGUGUGGAGAGCGACUCAAUGGCUCGGUAUGUUCACGGCAAGCAGGCAAAACAAAGUAUCGUUGUUCUUAAGGUGUGUACAUGCGGGAUUUGUCACAUGUAUUACACGGUCUGUUGGACAAGGGCUGUGUCAAGCCGAUUCGCACCACCAGGC
rnacentral:lncRNA from 1 species